AAGAAAGGAGAGAAGGGCACAUGAAGGAUGCCUGGGCUCUCGGAGGCGACGAAGGACGUGAUAAGCUGCGAUAAGCUGCGGACAGGAGCAAAUAUCCAUCGACCCGCAGAUUUCCGAAUGGGGCAACCCGUGCGGUCAAGCCGCACAUCCCGCUGAUGCGGGAGGCGAACCCGGGGAACUGAAACAUCUCAGUACCCGGAGGAAGAGAAAAUAAACCAAUGAUUGCGCCAGUAGUGGCGAGCGAACGCGCAAGAGCCCAAACCGGCGGUGUUUCGGCACCGACCGGGGUUGUAGGACCGCCAAUAAAUGGACAGCGAUAAGUUAGCCGAAGCCUCUGGAAAGGGGCGCCAUAGCGGGUGAAAGCCCCGUAGGCGAAAACGGACAGCUGACAGAGGCGGCACCUGAGUAAGCCGGGACACGAGAAAUCCUGGCCGAAUCCGCGGGGACCAUCCCGCAAGGCUAAACACUACCGAGAGACCGAUAGCGAACCAGUACCGUGAGGGAAAGGUGAAAAGAACCUCGAACAGAGGAG
rnacentral:rRNA from 1 species